CCUCUCGCCCUUACCCUUGUCUUGCUCCUCAUGGGAACACCCUCUCUUUGUUAACCGGUUCCGUAAGAUCUACCUGAUCCCCAAAUGCGUUGGCAGCUUUAGUAGCUCAUAUCUCAGCUGUAAAUUAUUCACGUAAUUGUUCGCGAUCGGUUCUUGAAUUUCUCAUCUUGGCUAAUUGGUUCUGCUUCACAGUGAUCCCCUGCUAAAAUAUAUUUUCUUAAAAAUUUUGGUUAAAAUAUUUACAUUCUUGAGGGAUCACUGUUACAGUCUGCAGGUUUCUUUUUAAUCAACUUUUGAUUUUUUUUGCCCAUUCCCGUGUGGGAGUGCUGCCGCAAGAAGGUGUGCUGAGUGGGCGGAGUGACGGCCAUUUACAGUGGCGCGUUAAUAAUAAUUGACAUUAUUUGAGAUUAUUGUGCUGAUUAUGGAAACUUAGUAUUUAUGCAAAUUCUUUUUUAUGAGGUGGCAGGUGCCAUUCCACUCCACCGUCAGAUGCCGUCAGAAAAUGAUGUUUUUCCCUCAAAAUAUAAAAAGAGUAGUUCCAUGAAAAGUAUCUUAUCUGGCUUGGGGUUUCUCAGUUCAAAUAAAAGAAGGGAAAGUACUUAACCAACAAUCAACAAGAUUAUUAAUCCCAAGACCUUUUAUUCUUUUUCCAACUGAUAAAAAAAAUGAAAACUCUUGAUUGUAGUUCUUGAAGAGUUUUUGGAAGAAUUAGGAACUAUUUUUGGGUGGUACUAUCUCACUAUUUACUGAAAAAAGGGCAUAUUACUAUCGCUAAUGAGACAUCUCUAACAUUCUAUUGAAGAACUAUCAUUUAUAUAUCAUUAUAUCAUUAUCUGUUGUGCGAAUGUAUGCUUUUCUGUCCAUUUUUUAAUCUCUUCAAUGAAACACCUCCCACAUUCCAUUAUAAAAAAUUUAAUUUAUCAAAAUGGUACUACCUGAGAUCAUACAUACCUCGCAUACUUUGGCUAUAACCCACUCCCAUUUCACUCCAUCUGGCAUUUCCUCAAAAGUUCGCACAGCUGUUGCCGCAUCCACGCGCUGAUUCAUUGACCCACAACUCCAACAGUUGUAGCCAAGCCCAUCCAAGAAGCAACUGAAACUGAAAAAAAAAAAAAUUAAAAAGAAACUACUACAGCAACAUCGUGUCAGGGUCUGCAUGUAAAUGUUGCUGCCCAGACUUGUAAAUUACCCCAACGAAAGACAGAAGACAGGAAAAGUGGGAGGAGGUGGAGGUGGCAUAGGCGGUGGCGGCAUAGGGGGUAUAUUCCGGUAUAGGCUCUGGUGAAGUUCUAAAACCGAAAAUUGAGAUUACAAGCUGAAAGCAGCUAAAAUAACAAAAAACAACAGAAAGAAGCGAUUGUUGUUCUUUGAUUUGGCUUGUUUUAUUCCGCUCUAAUGAAAAGUUGUCGGCCGCAGGGAGUAGAAAACAAAAUAAUCAUACAUUGAGAUACAAGAUCCAAAAAACACAAGAUACAAAAAAAUCUCAAUCCAAGAGUAGGAAAAACAAAGACGUAAAUAGGCACUAAAAAGUUACAGAAAAAGGUGGCUUAAGAAAGUGAGAUUUUAUUUUCGGGGCGCCACUAAAGAGAUACUAAUACUCUUCUAAAGAAAAUUAAAUAUAAGGAUAUUCAUAGAACAAUAUUAGAUAUAAGUAAAAGUAGUUAAGAUAUAAAUGAUAUAAGAUAUAAACAAAAUUUUGGAAUAAAAUAUUUGGAGCAUUACCUAUUAAAAGUGGUGUGUUGUGUUAAUUUUAAAUUACUUGGUAGUAUAAUUAUUGGUAGUAAAAUAAAUAAUUGGUUAAUUGGUUAUAAAUAAAUAAAACUAUAAAAUAAUAAAAUAAAAUAAUAAAAGAAAGUAUCUAAAAUUUCUCUUCAAAACGGAACUAUGAACCACAAGACCUCUCUUUGUAGGGCAGAAUUAAGAACAAAGUACAAGAAAAACAGGAACACUAAAAUAAAAAAAUAUAAAUAAAAAAAAAACUGUGAAAAAACAAACCCAUGGAGCCCUCGAUCACGUUUUUACGAUUCUGGCCACGAUUACAUACAUAUGUACAUAUAGUAAUAAGGAGGGGAAGGGGAAAGAGAACGCAUUACGCGUGGUCCAGUCCAUGUUCAUCUCCAUGUGUAGUAACUCCAUUUGUCCAGCUGCCCCCACAGGCCAUCUACUUGUCCUUUUCUCCUAUUUCCCCAAUCCAUUCAUCAUUAUCAUGAUCGGUUGGGGAACAUCAUAAUCCGUUUCGUAGACGUUUCGCUUUUCUUCUUUACGACUUUUUCUCUUGCCCUCUCUGCUCUUUUCGUUUCUUGGCCUGUUCUGUGUUUGCUAAUUUCUUGUACGUGCUGUUCUGGCUUUACUCUUGCGCUGCCUCCGCCUCUUCUCCUUUUACCUCCCUUCAUCCUCUUCUUCGGGUUCUCUUUACCUUUGCCGCUGCGGCUCAGGUAGGAAGCAUACACACCUGAGGGUAAUUGAAUAAUAUUCAGUUUCAAAAAUUUAAUAGAAAAAAGAUAAAUAUGAUUUGAUAUUUAUAACUACAUACAUAUUAUUUUAGUUAUAUUUUUCCAAGUUGUUACAGGAAUUUUUUACUUUUUGGAACUAUCGAAGUGCCCCCCAAUUAUAGGGUGUAGUGGGUUCCCUUCUCCACGUAAAUUACAAUUACUUACAGCGCCCAGUGCUGGCUCCCUCUCUCCCACUGUCCCUACAUCUCGUCGCAUCUCUUUUCCACCUUAUGCGGCGCUCCCUUUCUGCAUUUGAUAAUUUAUGCAGCAUAAUCUGGCCGAUGACGUUUAUCGUUUGCCAUUCCCAUUUGUCCCCUUCUUUCGGUGGACUCUCUUUCGACCCUCCUUGCACUCAAUCCACCCCCUCCUCCUAUACCUAGUAUUUCCUUUAUGGGCAACCUUAUCGUGUUCUGCUUCAUCUUUUGUGUCUGUUUGCACUGCCCCCGAGAAUCGUUUCCUUUUAUGUUUUAUUUGUUGAUUUCUUUGAUUUCGCUUUUUCUUUUAUUUAUUUAUUUAUUUUUUUUUUUUUUUAGUAUGAUCAUGAUGAUGUUCACCUUUAGUUUCGUUCCAUUUCGUUUCGUUUCAACUGCGCAUGCGCGGCGCGCAUCCUGUUUUCCGUCGAGGGUCUUUGUUUUCUACUUUUGUCCCACUUCUCCAGUGGCUUCUGAUCUAUCUAUCCUUCUCUCUUCCUCCGGCUGAAGUAGGUCUUUGGGGUUUUUGAACAUGUUUUGGUCUCUUGGUUUCAGAUUUUCCAGUUUCUACUUCGAAGGAGGAUGGAAAUUUGGCAUUAAAAAGAUUUCUCUUAUUUUUCCAGCUAAUUGGUUAGCUUUUUGUAAAAAAAAAAAGCGGAAGGAAAUCGACUUAAACCUUCUACUGGGUGGCCUGUGACUGCCCACAAUUAAUUGCAAUUCCCUAGAUUACAAUUUAAUUUCCAUUCCGUCUGCCCUAUUAAAUCAUUAUUCAUUUCGGUAGCUGAUCACAAGUUAUGGUCCAUGGCAAUAGGGCUUGCCCAAGUCCAAUGCUUAUGCCCUGGAUCGGUUAAGCCUGAGACAAGCUGCUAAGCCUCUUACCCACACAACUGUCACGCAAUCAGCCAACGAUCCUCCCCAGACGGCAGGUAACUUGUUUGGCUCUCUUUUACCAAUUCCUGCCGUUUCCACGCUCGUUCUGAUUACAAAGAACCAGCGGGAAUAACGUAAGAAACGUAAAAAAAAAAGUUAACAAAACAGUGACUCAUUGGGCUGUAGAGCCAUUCUCCAAAAACGGGCAUCGCUCCAUCGACUCCCAGACUGCUGGCUGGCGUCUACCGCUGGUGGAAGUUGCAGUUUUUCGUCGCUGUUGCAGCUGAAAGCGGCUUUAACUGUAUCUCCCAGUUGCCAGUCUCUGUUCCCAAUGGAUAAGUGUACAGUGAUCUCUGGCAAUGAGUGUACGAUAGUUUUUUUCUUUUCUUAAAUAGGAUUAAAAAUAAAUUAAAAUCCAUUGGAUAAACUCACUUUAUGAGUCAUAAGCAAGGUGUUGGUAUUAUUAUUCUGAAAAGAUGUAUUAAUAACUUCACUGUUGAAUAAAAAGUUGAGAAUCAUAAUAUAUUUAUUUGACCUGCUGAGAUGAACCAGCAGAAACCCAUCUUCAUUCUUCUAAGAGGAGGAUCUUCCCUUCUUUUCCCUUUCUUCAGUUAACAAUUUAUAUUUUGUUCAAGUCAUUAGCUUUAAUUUACAAAUACCUCGGCUAGUUUCAUUCAUGGCUCGAUCUUCAAUGGGAGAACCCUAAAUGGUAUGUCCCCCUCUAUUUUUUUGGCCAUUAGGAAGUGCAUCAACGAGAUCGAUCUGGGUUUCUUGUCGCUCCAUUGGCUUUGGGCCCAACCCAGUUACUGAACUUUCAAUCUUGGUGGGCCUGGGCCAUUGAUCUCCACUUUAUUGAACUCUAUCGCUGUUCAUUUGCGAUCUUCAUUUUCGUGUAUUUUUUAUUGUCUGGUUGAACAUUAUGAUUAAUUGGUUUGAUCGAGAUGUCUGACUUGGCAAAUGUUUGAUUUAACGCUUCGUUGAUCCCGGCGGUGUAAAUAGCUAUCGACUAAUGGAGUUUUCUCGGCCUCUGGUAAUGGAGACAAGAAAAAUUGAAUAACCUUUUCGAUUGCUUAUUAAUUGAUUGUUUUUCAAGUUCUUUGCUAAACUCAAUUAUUUUGAAAUUACGAGCACUUUCCCCCACUCAUCAGUGUUUAGACUAUUAUUUUCUUAUUUUUUUUUGCAAUUUGUUCCAUUUGGGGAGCGUUUAAAGCAAAUCUCACAGAAACAAUGACCGCAAUGCCCCUUUGUUUUGCCAUUUCAGCAAUUUUCUGACCAAAACAGACUCUAAUUUCGCGAAACUUUCUUCUUUUUUUAUUCAAUUGCACAAAAAGUUGAACUGUUUUUGUUAUUUUUCCCCCGUAGACUAGUGGCCUCAGUAAUGAUGAUGAUGACAACUAAAUGGGGGAAAUUGAAGUUGUGGAUGGGAAGGGGCUGGCGGGCUGGUACCAACAAUGUCAACAAGUCGAAAUGAAAUUCGCCACGCUUUGUAGCUACCGUAGACCACAUAAACAAAUCCAAUUAAUUUGAAUAAACCAUUAAUUUCAAGGCUGAAAUCAACGCCCAACUUCCACACACUUAAUAAUUCAAUUAAAUCCAAAAAUCUGACAUUGAAAAAGUGAAAUAAAAUUAUGGAAUUUUUUCUGCAAAAUCGGCUCGAAACUCAACCGUGAAAUUCAAUCAAUUACAGAGUGCACUCCCUUUUAUUAAGUAAAAUAUAGUAGAUAAAAAAACGGUUUCAAUAAACCAUUUAACACUCCAUUAAAGAAGCAACCCAUAAAAUGUUCUUCGAACAGUAAUGUGAUAUGGUUAUCGAACACUUAUUUUCCUUCAAUCAAAUCAGAAAAAAAUGAACAUGAUUUUAUAUUUUGGAUUUUAUUUGUUCAGCGAUGAGGUUUCGUUGGGUCAACAACAGAAGGUCGGCUGGAGUUCAACUUUAAUUGACAGAGACACUAGAGGCACACCACAGAGGAGUGUGCCAUUGACCGACCGGCUGUCUCUUCCCCCACUGCCGCCACUCUUGGUUUUUUUCUUUCUGUGUGGUCAGCUUGCGGUUUGAGUGACAGCAUUUUAUGCCGCCUCAGGCCCCAGGCGGAAAUGGUAAUACUUUAUAGUCGACAGUAUAGUGGGCAGAUUCCUCAAGAACUUCAAAUAAACUCCAUGGCAAAUUUCCAGACAAUUCUGCUGUUGAACUUCCCGUGAAGGCUGUCCCGAGCGUCGGCAGCUCUUUCAAAAAUAAACAAGCUAAAAUUUUGGCGAUUUUUUGUGCAAAUCUAGCACAUACAGUUUAUGGCGUUAAACUGUUGAAAUGCUCUCGAGAAGCUGAAAUAAAAAUGCUGUGAAAAAAUAAACUUGAAUCUUGUAUACCAGAAAGGCGAAACAAACCUGAAGUUUCUGAGACAAUCUAUAGAUCGAUUCAUAUUCAAAUAAAUGCAAUUUUUCAUAGCGGUUAUCUUAAUUGGAAGAUUAAUUUAUUGUUGGUAUCAUCGGGUGGUCAGAACUUCCGCCACAGAUGAUCUGACAUUUCAAUUUAGAGUUUAGGACUAAGACUAAGAUCUCUUAGACUUGGCACUUCAUCAUCCCUAAACAAUAAUCGUAUAAUUUUGAAGUGAAAAGGAAAACGUGUAUCUAGAAGAUUGGUUCCUCAACUCCAGAUGCGUUCCAGACCCAUUUCAAAAGCUCCACAUCUCCUCCCAGUUUUAGCCAUUUUGCAACGCACAUAAAUCAGUUUAAAAUGGUUUUUUUAUAUGAUUAUCAAUCACCAUUAAGUUGAGGGAAUAAGUUGAAUCGUCGUUGGGCUGCACUAACUAGUUGUGAGAUGUUAAUCGGAACUAAGGAUCUCAGAACAUUUAUCAUUAUUCUAGGGAGGCGUCGACUCAACAGCUACGGCUAUAAAUUUACCUCAAAAGCUCAUAUGCUAGUCAUAAAAAUGAGGAUUUUUAUUUUAAAUUAUGACUACAACUUUGCACUGAAAAUGACUAAAUGAAACUAUUGAUAUGAAAAGUAUCUGGAUGACUAAAGUAAUUUUUUCAAGUGUCCAAUAUCAUCACAUAAACACGUUAUCGAGGGGGCUGGAGGCGACUCGCUGGCUGGAUGGCUGGCUGGCUGGCUGGUCGUCAGAAGCAGACUCCACAGUAGACUGGUUCUGGUUCUUCGUCAUGUUCUGGUUGUUCUGCUUUGAUUUGAUCUAUAUUAAUCAAGAUCCAGGCUGGCGUCACAGAGUACCCAUGUACACACAUUAUUAUGCGACGGGAGGAUCGGUCUUGCGAAAGUGACUGCUUUUGAUUAAAUUAUAUGAGAUUUUGCGUGGC